CUCUUCCUCGCUCUCUAUUUUCCCUCUUUUCCGCCCGUUUUUCAGACCCAUUUUUUUCUCGCUCCUCUUUUUGCCCUUUUUCUCCUCAUUUAGGGGGAGGUCCUCGUCCGAGUCGCUGGGGGGGGGCUCUUCCUCCUCCUCUUCCUCCUCUUCCUCACUCUCCGUUUUCCCCCUUUUCCGCCCAUUUUUCACACCCGUUUUUUUCUCAGUCUCUUUCCUCUUUUUGCCCUUUUUCUCCUCGUUUUUGGGGGGCGGCUUCUUCCUCUUUUCUUCCUCUUCUUCCUCCUCCUCCUCUUCCUCCUCCUCUUCCUCGCUCUCUAUUUUCCCUCUUUUCCGCCCGUUUUUCAGACCCAUUUUUUUCUCGCUCCUCUUUUUGCCCUUUUUCUCCUCAUUUUCGGAAGUUGGUUUCUUCUUCUCUUCUUCUUCCUCCUCCUCCUCUUCAUCUUCUUCAUCCUCUUCCUCGCUGUCCAUUUUCACUCCUUUGGCCCCAUUUUUCACAGGUUGUUUCUUCUCGCUCUCACUCCUCUUUUUGCCCGUUUCCACCCCAUUUUUAGGGGACCGUUUCUUCCUCUUUUCCUCUUCUUCCUCCUCCUCCUCCUCCUCUUCCUCACUCUCCGUUUCGACCCUUUUCCGCCCAUUUCUCACAGCCUGUUUUUUCUCACUCUCGCUCCUCUUUUUGCCUGUUUUCACCCCAUUUUGGGGGGGUGACUUCUUCCUCUUUUCCUCUUCUUCCUCCUCCUCUUCCUCACUCUCCGUUUCGACCUUUUUCCGCCCAUUUUUCACGGGCCGUUUUUUCUCACUCUCACUCCUCUUUUUCUCCUUUUUCUCCUCGUUUUUGGGGGGCGGCUUCUUCCUCUUGUCUUCCUCCUCUUCUUCAUCCUCCUCGUCUUCCUCUUCAUCUUCCUCACUCUCUGUUCCGACCCUUUUCCGCCCAUUUCUCACAGCCUGGUUUUUCUCGCUCUCGCCCCUCUUUUUGCCCGUUUUCACCCCAUUUUUGGGGGGCGGCUUCUUCCUCUUCUCCUCAUCAUCCUCCUCCUCUUCCUCACUCUCUGUUUCGACCCUUUUCCGCCCAUUUUUCACAGGCUGUUUUUUUUCACUCUCACUCAUCUUUUUGCCCCUUUUCUCCUCAUUUUGGGAGGGCGGCUUCUUCCUCUUCUCCUCUUCCUCCUCCUCUUCCUCACUCUCCAUUUUCACCCUUUUCGCCCCAUUUCUCACAGCCUGGUUUUUCUCACUCCUCUUUUUGCCCCUUUUCUCCUCAUUUUUGGAGGGUGGCUUCUUCCUCUUCUCCUCUUCCUCCUCCUCUUCCUCAUCAUCAUCUUCUUCCUCCUCGUUUUCCUCUUCCUCUUCGUCACUCUCUAUUUUUACCCUUUUCGCCCCAUUUCUCACAGGCUGUUUUUUCUCGCUCUCACUCAUCUUUUUGCCCGUUUUCACCCCAUUUUUGGAGAGCGGCUUCUUCCUCUUCUCCUCCUCUUGCUCCUCAUCCUUGUCCUCAUCAUCCUCCUCCUCUUCCUCUUCAUCUUUGUCUUCAUCACUCUCUAUUUUUACCCUUUUCGCCCCAUUUCUCACAGCCUGGUUUUUCUCACUCCUCUUUUUGCCCGUUUUCACCCCAUUUUUGGAGGGCGGCUUCUUCCUCUUCUCCUCUUCCUCCUCCUCUUCCUCAUCAUCAUCUUCUUCCUCCUCGUUUUCCUCUUCCUCUUCGUCACUCUCUAUUUUUACCCUUUUCGCCCCAUUUCUCACAGGCUGUUUUUUCUCGCUCUCACUCAUCUUUUUGCCCGUUUUCACCCCAUUUUUGGAGAGCGGCUUCUUCCUCUUCUCCUCCUCUUGCUCCUCAUCCUUGUCCUCAUCAUCCUCCUCCUCUUCCUCUUCAUCUUUGUCUUCAUCACUCUCUAUUUUUACCCUUUUCGCCCCAUUUCUCACAGCCUGGUUUUUCUCACUCCUCUUUUUGCCCGUUUUCACCCCAUUUUUGGAGGGCGGCUUCUUCCUCUUCUCCUCCUCUUCCUCCUCAUCCUCGUCCUCAUCAUCCUCCUCCUCUUCUUCCUCUUCAUCUUUGUCUUCAUCACUCUCUAUUUUCACCCUUUUCGCCCCAUUUCUCACAGCCUGGGUUUUCUCGCUCUCACUCCUCUUUUUGCCCCUUUUCUCCUCAUUUUUGGAGGGCGGCUUCUUCCUCUCCUCCUCUUCCUCCUCCUCAUCUUCCUCCUCAUCUUCGUCCUCCUCCUCCUCUUCCUCACUCUCCAUUUUCACCCUUUUCCCCCCAUUUUUCACGGGCUGGUUUUUUUCACUCUUCUUCCUCGUUUCGCCCCUUUUCUCCUCAUUUUCGGGGGUCACCUCCUCCUCUCUCUCCUGCUCUUCCUCCUCCUCCUCCCCCUCGCUCCCUUUUUCCCCCUUUUUCCCCCCAUUUCGCAGGGGCGGGGCCUCCCCUUCCCCUUCCCUCCCCAUUCCGCCUCUUUUCGCCCCAAUUCCAGGGGGCGGGGCCUCCCCCUCCCCCCCGUUCCCGAUUUCCCCCUUUUCUGCCCCAAAUCCCGCCGUCGGGGCCUCCAUUUCGGGCUCCGUUUCCCCCUUUUUUCGCCCCAAAAAACGCGGGGGGGGCGGGACUUCCGCUUCGGGCCCGCCUCUUCCGGGUUACUGGCGGUCACGUGGGGGGCCCUUUGCUAUCCCACAAUCCCCCGCGCUCCCCGCCGCCCGCUGGGGGCCGCCAUUUUGUCGCCGCCGCCGUCUGCCGGGCGCCGCCAUUUUGUUUCCGUACAGGCGGCGGCGGGAGGAGGGGGGAGAGGGGGCGGCGCCCAGCGCGGCGCCAGCC
rnacentral:lncRNA from 1 species